UGGGGAAUUGUUCACAAUGGGCGCAAGCCUGAUGACGCAACGCCGCGUGGGGGAUGAAGGUCUUCGGAUCGUAAACCCCUGUCGAAUGGGACGAAUAGCCCGCGAAUUAAUACCUCGUGGGAAUGACGGUACCGUUAAAGGAAGCCACGGCUAACUCUGUGCCAGCAGCCGCGGUAAUACAGAGGUGGCAAGCGUUGUUCGGAAUUACUGGGCGUAAAGGGCGCGUAGGCGGCCAUCUAAGUCAGACGUGAAAUCCCCCGGCUCAACCUGGGAACUGCGUCUGAUACUGGGAGGCUAGAGUUUGGGAGAGGGAUGUAGAAUUCCAGGUGUAGCGGUGAAAUGCGUAGAUAUCUGGAGGAACACCGGUGGCGAAGGCGGCGUCCUGGACCAAUACUGACACUGAGGAGCGAAAGCCAGGGGAGCAAACGGGAUUAGAUACCCCCGUAGUCCCUGAGCGGGCUGGCAAGGCGCAU
rnacentral:rRNA from 1 species